rnacentral:sRNA from 1 species
CCCAUGCUUUUGUCUAGAACUUCUUCUACAUCUUCUUUCGUCUUCAACUUUGAUCUAACCCAAUCCACGAUACUGUUACCUUCUCCAAAUUCCGGUUCCACCGAUCUUUUUCCGGUGAUUAUCU